rnacentral:lncRNA from 1 species
AUAAUUUAUGAAUAAUGAAAAAGCUGACACGGAAAUCUCAAAAAAUCUUCCAUUUCUCUUGAAGAAUAGGGUGAAGAUUCUUAAGAGUAGUGUCUCUGUCACUCCUGCUGUUGAAAAAAUCUCCAUGAUCUUCUUUGAGAAAAAGGACCUUCACCUAACUCAAUGUGGUCUGAAGUGCCUGCAAAAACUUUGAUUCCAACUUUUUUUUUCAUCAUUUAAAUCUGGAAUGGGAACACAUACGGAAGUGAACAUAAUUGUGACUUGACACUUUUAAUUUUAAUUGGAAUGCUAGAUGAAAAACUAAUCAAGGAAAUCCAGGAGGCUUCUCCCAUUUCUGAAGAACUAUCUAGAGAUGUUUGGAACCACAGUUGCUUUUGAUCUGUGCCAUUUUGAGCCUUCUUUGAUGAAUGAUGUCAAAUGUCUUUUUUCUUUCACUCCCUUUGAAGAAUCAUGCCAUUAUUCAUCAAAGCCCAAUUCAACCCUGAUGUUUUAUUCCAAUAUGUGUGCCAAGAAGAGAUCUGGAUGUUGGAUAAGUGCCUCUCUUUAUUCUAAGUGUGGGAGGGGAUUUAAAUUAUCUUGAAAAAGAGCUCCACAACUUUUCUACAUUUGGGGAAGCCUCGGCAAUGAGCAAUUACCAGUAAUUUUUUUGCUAUAUAUCCUAAAACAUUCAGUUUCAUAGCAUUAAUGCAAUCGACUGUAAGGUGCAAUUUUACUCAUAAUUUAAGAAAAAUGCCAAGGAAUGACAGAGUUAUUUUGUAAAAACUCUCCUCCCAUUCAUGUGGGGAUACUUCAUUUGUUUGGAAAGAACAUAUGUCUUUGAUGCUUUUCCCUCUCCCCUCACCCAAUUGUGGAUGAAGCAAGCUCACUUGGAUGGAAUUGCUUGCUCUCUUCCUUCUCAUUCAAGAAACCUUCUGAAACUUCAUUUCUUCAUUGUGGUGGAACAACUCCAAUUUCCUGGAUAUUAUAAAUUCAACCCCAGGCCUGGCGCAGUGGCUCACGCCUGUAAUCACAGCACUUUGGGAGGCCAAGGCAGGUGGAUCAUGAGUCAAGAGAUCGAAACAAUCCUGGCCAACAUGGUGAAACCACGUUCCUGCUAA